rnacentral:hammerhead_ribozyme from 1 species
CUGACGAGUCCCAAAUAGGACGAAAUGCGCAUN